rnacentral:rRNA from 1 species
GACGAACGCUGGCGGCGUGCUUAACACAUGCAAGUCGAACGGAAAGGCCCUGCUUUUGUGGGGUGCUCGAGUGGCGAACGGGUGAGUAACACGUGAGUAACCUGCCCUUGACUUUGGGAUAACUUCAGGAAACUGGGGCUAAUACCGGAUAGGAGCUCCUGCUGCAUGGUGGGGGUUGGAAAGUUUCGGCGGUUGGGGAUGGACUCGCGGCUUAUCAGCUUGUUGGUGGGGUAGUGGCUUACCAAGGCUUUGACGGGUAGCCGGCCUGAGAGGGUGACCGGCCACAUUGGGACUGCGAUACGGCCCAGACUCCUACGGGCGGCAGCAGUGGGGAAUAUUGCACAAUGGGCGGAAGCCUGAUGCAGCAACGCCGCGUGCGGGAUGACGGCCUUCGGGUUGUAAACCGCUUUCGCCUGUGCCGAAGCGUGAGUGACGGUAAUGGGUAAAGAAGCACCGGCUAACUACGUG